GGAAAUAAAAGUCGUAACAAGGUUUCCGUAGGUGAACCUGCGGAAGGAUCAUUAUUGUAUAACCGAGGUGCGAGGGCUGUCGCUGACCCGAAAGGUCGUGCACGCCCGAGUGCCCUCACACACAUCCAUCUCACCCCUAUGUGCACCACCGCGUGGGUCCCCCUUUGGCUUGUUCGGAGGGGGGCUUACGUUUUCACACAAACUUUGUAUGCAGAGUAGAAUGUAUUUUUUGUUUUUGCGAUCACGCAAUCAAUACAACUUUCAACAACGGAUCUCUUGGCUCUU
rnacentral:misc_RNA from 1 species